UCCAAGCCAUGUGGUCUCAGCUCAUCCUUUGCGCAUUGCUUUGCGGACUCUUUUUACCAAUCCAAGUAGAUACUCGAAAAGGUGUAACGCGUCGUGGUAACAAUAAAAAACGCCUAUCGACGAUAGGAAGAAGUGCAACGCGUAAUGAUAUCAAUAUAAAUCGUUUAACGAAGAUAGGAUCUUUCAUAAUUCGGCAGGAGAGAUGUCUGUUCACGCCCAGUUACGGAACGUGCAAAAGGUCCAUCAGAGUUUUUGGCUAUAGCCUUAUGAACAAUCGGUGCAUGGAAUACCUUUACAGCGGAUGCGGGGGGAAUCCCAAUCGAUUUCCCACCGAACAAGCCUGUCGCGCCGCUUGCCUAGUGAUUUUCAAGAAACCAACCACUGUGGCAAUAGACUAUUAUGCCGAAGAUUAAGGAAUAAAUAAGACAAAUUAAUAAAGAAUCAUAAUCUAAAUAAACAAAAAAAACUAA